GGCCCCCCCUGCCGCUCCUGAGCCCCCAGAGCGGGGCCGCUCCGCUCGCAGCCCCUGAGCGAUGCCCGGCGCUCUCCCCCGCCGUGGCUCAGGCGGUGCCUCGGGUCGGGCUCCGUGGGGCACUCCAGCCCUCUGCACUACGAGUAAAAAGGAGCCGGUGGCGCUCUCCAGUUCGUUUGGUGCUGCCUGGUUCUCACCGGUGUGCGAUCACCAAGGUCACUGAACCCUCAGCUCGUGUUCCUGCCUGGAGAAGUGCCCAGGACUGCAAGGCCAAGGUUCCUGCUUUCAGCAGCAGCAGCAGCUUCUACCCAUCCAACUCCUGUUCUGCUGCUCAGUCCUGCCUGCCUCAUUCUCUGGACAGCCCAGCCCUACACUCUGAUUUUUUUUCCCCAUUCGUGCUACCACAUACACAGAACAAAUAUGAGAAAGGCUGGAUUGCCCUUAAGAUCACAAUCAACAAAGUGUUCUCUGUUUUCACCUGAAGCAAAACGCUUGGAUAAACAAUUUUGGUUGGUGUCUAACCUUUAACAAAAGGAAAAGAAAUUCUGCCUGGAGACAAACCCCCCUGACUCACUGAGGUGUGGUUUCAGUAGCCAGUUUACAGGAGGGACUACAGGCUUUGUGCCACAACCUUUAUUAAAAUUUACAGUCUUACCAAUUAGUGCCCUGGUAACAAAGUGCACGCAUUUCAGAUUGUUUUUACUACACGAAAUACUACUUGGACCAAGACUUUACAGCCAACAUGUCAAAAAUAACAAUAAAAUAUUACUAAACACGUAAUUGGAAAAAAAAUGCAAUAUGUGGCAAAUUGCACAUAAUUGGAUUUGGUCAUCUGGUCUAAUAACUACUGGAAUUAAAUCCACUCCAGCCACAAAUUUAGAAUGCCUGGGUUUUAUGCUUAUUUUUUUGUUUCUUUUGGGUGGGAACAAGUUAGGGGGAAAUAAGUUUUAGCUCUUCAUCAAAGAGAAGGAAUCUCCAGUCACUGAGAAGGGAUA